UGAGCCAAGUUUAGGGUUUCUUAAAAACCCAAAGAUGUUUGAACUGAAGAGUUUGAUCAUGGCUCAGAUUGAACGCUGGCGGCAGGCCUAACACAUGCAAGUCGAGCGGUAGA
rnacentral:rRNA from 1 species